rnacentral:rRNA from 1 species
GUGAACGCUGGCGGCAGGCCUAACACAUGCAAGUCGAGCGGCAGCGCGGGGGCAACCCUGGCGGCGAGCGGCGGACGGGUGAGGAAUUCGUCGGAAUCUGCCUUUUUGUGGGGGAUAACGUAGGGAAACUUACGCUAAUACCGCAUACGACCUACGGGUGAAAGUGGGGGACCUUCGGGCCUCACGCAGAAAGAUGAGCCGACGACCGAUUAGCUAGUUGGUAGGGUAAAGGUCUACCAAGGCGACGAUCGGUAGCUG